rnacentral:rRNA from 1 species
AUGUACAUUCCUACAACAUAGCGUUAAUUCAUUGAAUCCCAAUAGAAUUCCGCAGUUAAGCAUGUCGGGAUAGAGUAAUACUGGGAUGGGUGACUACAAGGGAAGUCCUAGUGUUUUACAUG